rnacentral:rRNA from 1 species
AUUGAACGCUGGUGGCAGGCCUAACACAUGCAAGUCGAACGAGUGGCGGACGGGUGAGUAAUGUCUGGGAAACUGCCUGAUGGAGGGGGAUAAUUACUGGAAACGGUAGCUAAUCCCGCCUACCAUUAGAUGUGUCUAGAUGGGAUUAGCUGGUUGGUGGGUUAACGGCUCACCAAGUCGACGAUGCCUAGCGGGUCUGAGAGGAUGACGAGGAACACUGGAGCUGAGACGCGGUCCAGACUUCGACGGGAGGCAGCGUUGGGGAAUAUUGGACAAUGGGCGGAAGCGUGAAGCAGCCAUGGCGGGUGUAUGAGGAGGGCCUUCGGGUUGUAAAGUACUUUCAGCGGGGGGGCGGUACCCGAAGAAGAAGCACCGGCUAACUCCGUGCCAGCAGCAGCGGUAAUAC